rnacentral:rRNA from 1 species
AUGAAGCUCCUUCGGGAGUGGAUUAGCGGCGGACGGGUGAGUAACACGUGGGUAACCUGCCUCAUAGAGGGGAAUAGCCUUUCGAAAGGAAGAUUAAUACCGCAUAAGAUUGUAGUGCUGCAUGGCAUAGCAAUUAAAGGAGUAAUCCGCUAUGAGAUGGACCCGCGUCGCAUUAGCUAGUUGGUGAGGUAACGGCUCACCAAGGCGACGAUGCGUAGCCGACCUGAGAGGGUGAUCGGCCACAUUGGAACUGAGAUACGGUCCAGACUCCUACGGGAGGCAGCAGUGGGGAAUAUUGCACAAUGGGGGAAACCCUGAUGCAGCAACGCCGCGUGAGUGAUGAAGGCCUUCGGGUUGUAAAGCUCUGUCUUUGGGGACGAUAAUGACGG